ACAGCAGUCGCCACGGGAAUACGAAGGGGGCUAGCGUUGCUCGGAAUCACUGGGCGUAAAGGGCGCGUAGGCGGCCGAUUAAGUCGGGGGUGAAAGCCUGUGGCUCAACCACAGAAUUGCCUUCGAUACUGGUUGGCUUGAGACCGGAAGAGGACAGCGGAACUGCGAGUGUAGAGGUGAAAUUCGUAGAUAUUCGCAAGAACACCAGUGGCGAAGGCGGCUGUCUGGUCCGGUUCUGACGCUGAGGCGCGAAAGCGUGGGGAGCAAACAGGAUUAGAUACCCGUGUAGUCCCUGUCUCUUAUAU
rnacentral:rRNA from 1 species